rnacentral:misc_RNA from 1 species
AACGCACAUUGCGCCCCUUGGUAUUCCAUGGGGCAUGCCUGUUCGAGCGUCAUUUGUACCCUCAAGCUCUGCUUGGUGUUGGGUGUUUGUCCUCUCCCUAGUGUUUGGACUCGCCUUAAAAUAAUUGGCAGCCAGUGUUUUGGUAUUGAAGCGCAGCACAAGUCGCGAUUCUUAUUAAAUACUUGCAUCCACAAGCCUUUUUAACUUUUGACCUCGGAUCAGGUAGGGAUACCCGCUGAACUUAA